rnacentral:rRNA from 1 species
GCAAGUCGAGGGGUAACAUAGGAAGCUUGCUUUCUGAUGACGACCGGCGCACGGGUGCGUAACGCGUAUACAAUCUACCUUAUACUGGGGUAUAGCCUUUAGAAAUGAAGAUUAAUCCCCCAUAGUCUCUUAGAGUGGCAUCUAUUUAUGAUUAAAGGUUACGGUAUAAGAUGAGUAUGCGUUCUAUUAGUUUGUUGGUGAGGUAACGGCACACCAAGACUACGAUAGAUAGGGGCCCUGAGAGGGAGAUC